AGCGUAGGCGGAUAGUUUAGUCAGAGGUGAAAGCCCAGGGCUCAACCUUGGAAAUGCCUUUGAUACUGGCUAUCUUGAGUAUGGGAGAGGUAAGCGGAAUUCCGAGUGUAGAGGUGAAAUUCGUAUAUAUUCGGAAGAACACCGGUGGCGAAGGCGGCUUACUGGCCCAUUACUGACGCUGAGGCUCGAAAGCGUGGGGAGCAAACA
rnacentral:rRNA from 1 species